AUUGAACGCUAGCGGCAGGCCUAACACAUGCAAGUCGAACGAGUGGCGGACGGGUGAGUAAUGUCUGGGAAACUGCCUGAUGGAGGGGGAUAACUACUGGAAACGGUAGCUAAUACCGCAUACCAUCAGAUGUGCCCAGAUGUGAUUAGCUUGUUGGUGGGGUAACGGCUCACCAAGGCGCCGAUCACGAGCUGGUCUGCGAGGAUUACCAGCCACACUGGAACUGGGACACGGUCCAGACUCCUACGGGAGGCAGAAGUGGGGAAUAUUGCACAAGGGGCGCAAGCCUGAUGCAGCCAUGCCGCGUGUAUGAAGAAGGCCUUCGGGUUGUAAAGUACUUUCAGCGGGGAGGCGUUACCCGCAGAAGAAGCACCGGCUAACUCCGUGCCAGCAGCCGCGGUAAUUC
rnacentral:rRNA from 1 species